rnacentral:tRNA from 1 species
GGCCUCGAAGCUGAAGGGGUUAGAGGGUCAGCUGUACUGAAGCCUUGCCCUUGCUGGCGUGGGUUCGAAUCCCACCGAGACCG